rnacentral:rRNA from 1 species
UUUAAUACCGCAUACGACCUGUGGGUNAAAGCGGGGGAUCGCAAGACCUCGCGCUAUUGGAGCGGCCGAUAUCAGAUUAGCUAGUUGGUGGGGUAAAGGCCCACCAAGGCGACGAUCUGUAGCUGGUCUGAGAGGAUGAUCAGCCACACUGGGACUGAGACACGGCCCAGACUCCUACGGGAGGCAGCAGUGGGGAAUAUUGGACAAUGGGCGAAAGCCUGAUCCAGCAAUGCCGCGUGAGUGAUGAAGGCCUUAGGGUUGUAAAGCUCUUUUACCCGAGAUGAUAAUGACAGUAUCGGGAGAAUAAGCUCCGGCUAACUCCGUG